rnacentral:rRNA from 1 species
CACGUAGGGCGCAAGCGUUGUCCGGAAUUAUUGGGCGUAAAGAGCUCGUAGGCGGUCUGUUGCGUCCGCUGUGAAAACUCGGGGCUUAACCCCGAGCCUGCAGUGGAUACGGGCAGACUAGAGGUAGGUAGGGGAGAAUGGAAUUCCCGGUGUAGCGGUGAAAUGCGCAGAUAUCGGGAGGAACACCGGUGGCGAAGGCGGUUCUCUGGGCCUACCUGA